rnacentral:misc_RNA from 1 species
GGGAAGAAAUUUCAGGGAAAGAAGUAAGAAGAAAUAGAAAGAGGAAGAAGAAAAAGAAGAAGGGAGGAAGAAGGGGAAGAUGAUCAGAAUUUUGGGGGUUUCUCUAGCAAGAUAGAACUCUGGUAAGGGAAAAAGAGAGAGUAUAACCUGAAAUAUAAGAAAUUAGAGAGAAAUGGAGAAAGGAGGAGAUUAGGAGCAAACAGUAGGGGAGAAAAUUUUUCAUCCUUUCAGAUGUUACAUCUGGCAAGAAAUUGAGCCAGCUAGCUAGCUGGGUAAAGAGUGUUUGUGGGAUGGAGGCUAAUACCAUCGUUGCUCCUUUCGUCAUGAAGACAUAUCAGAUUGUGAACGAUCCGGCCACGGAUACGCUUAUCACCUGGGGCAAAGCCAACAACAGCUUCAUCGUCAUCGAUCCUUUAGAUUUCUCCGAGAGGAUCUUGCCUGUUUAUUUCAAACACAACAACUU